AGUAAACCACGAUGGAUCGCUGAUCGCGAUCUGGAAUCGCAUGAAACAAACUCGCCCCAAAAGGUGUAGUUUGGAAAAUACCACGUGCGGAUCGGUAUGCGGAUCCAACUCCACUCGGUCACCGGAUAUGCUGGUUUUUGUGACAAAGUACACUGACGAUGAUGUAACUGAUUGAAAGCCACUGUGGUUCAUCUGCACGGCUUCAACAAACAAAAUACGUUGUGGAGCUUGUCUUCAAAUGUCAGGACAAGAGGAAGAUAAUCUCCCUGGCGACUGAACCACGUUACAGCUGCAAAUAUUUCACUGGAUGAAACACAAUUUAGGAAGUUUUCAACUCACAAGCAGGCGCCUCGUAGAUAGCAGGUAGUUGAUUUGAAUGUAGUCAUCUUUAAACAAUGUUUUACAACGCUGUGAAAGAAAAGGUUCUUUUCAGUGCUGCUUUCUUAAUGUAUGUGCAAGUCGAUCGUGGUCCAAGAGGCGUGAGUAAAUGUCAUUCAACAUCAGGGGACAGUGUACCUUGUGACGCUACAAAUGCCUUCCAUUUUGGUUCAAUUUCCCGGCAGGUUCGCCUUAAACCCGUCCCACCACAGCAGAAUCGUUCUUUGAUAGUUGUUUUCCAAAUGAAUGAGCUAUGCGCACUUUCUUACCACACCAAGAGAACGGACUGACAGUUAAUGACUUAGUUUCUGCUACAGUAGAUCUAGGUCGAGCACUGAUGCUCCUCGUGGAUCAAACAAAGCAGGCUGGCCGACCGAAGACUGCGUUCAAUUCACCUAAUAGGAACCUCCGCAACAGUGAGUCUAUUCCCAGUAACCGAUAAACAGACGUGGCACGAAACAACAACACAGUACGUGUGUUCCUAAGCCUAAAAUUCUGUUGCCAAAGUGAUAGUUUCUCAAUAUAUACGGGUAAAUGGCAACCCAGUUUAUUGAAAUCCUAAUAAAUUCGGUGUGCUCUUAGUUAAUCAUGGGCGUUCAUGAAAAGUUAGCUGCUGAUAUUAUCAUUUUUGUUAUUAAGGCAAAGGAUCUUUGAGGAUUUCUGGCCAAGAAACACGCCAAUAACUCGACACGCAGUAGAUGUGGGUAACAUCUUGUAAAGGGAAACUCUAGAAGUACCCCACUUGACGGGUGAACUUCGGGCGCAUUACCUGACCUACUUUACUCCAAUUUUAAAUUUACCUGUACGCUUAAAAUGUGACUUUAAAUGAGAUCAAGAUGGUCGAACCAUAGGCAUCUUUCAUUGGCUAUAAUUCGUGCCGUUAUCUUUGUUCUGAAGAAAGCUUAAACUUAAAACCCAAACGAAAUUCUGUCGCUCUGGGUCCCCCCUUUUUAAGUUGUUGUUGUUGGUUUUUUAUUAUUUCCUCUUCUUUUCAUAAAGACUACCGUAGGUAUAGAAAUGUAAAGAUAGGAAUAUCAAGUUUAGAAGAGGAAGUAAGACUAAAAAACAAAAGCUUGUGUAAGGCCUGCUUUUCUACAAUACUUCACACAAUAAUAAAGCAUGUGGUUCAUACUAGAAAACAAACAAAAAAGACAAAAUUCAAAAUCGAAUACACAUUAGGAAACGGGAGUUACAGAAGAAAGUAUGUACAAGUUACGAAUGCAAAUUAUCAAGAAACAUUGCCAAGUUAAUUAAAGCAGUAAACGAAAACCUGCUGACUAUCGAUGAAUGUAAAUUACGCGAUUGUUUGGCUGGUACCCUCAGUACUCUCGCUUGGUAAAUUCGGAUGUGAUUUGCACAUUUCGGUAUUCCUAGAAAUGGACGGUACCAAUUAGAAAUGAGCAAAAGACACAAACUCUUAUAUGUAAUAGUACGCUACAUGUAUACAAAAUUCAAAAUCGAAUACACAUUAGGAAACGGGAGUUACAGAAGAAAGUAUGUACAAGUUACGAAUGCAAAUUAUCAAGAAACGUUGCCAAGUUAAUUAAAGCAGUAAACGAAAACCUGCUGACUAUCGAUGAAUGUAAAUUACGCGAUUGUUUGGCUGGUACCCUCAGUACUCUCGCUUGGUAAAUUCGGAUGUGAUUUGCACAUUUCGGUAUUCCUAGAAAUGGACGGUACCAAUUAGAAAUGAGCAAAAGACACAAACUCUUAUAUGUAAUAGUACGCUACAUGUAUAAGUUUGAGCUUAUACUUACAUGCAGGUUUAAUAUCAAGUCUGCAUUAUCAUUAACAGAUUAAACUCGUCGAGUGGUGUAGAUUAGUAAUAGAACGAUAUAAUGGAUCAGAGAAAUCUGAAUUGCCUUGCCCUGAAGAAGGUACUCAGUUAUCGAAAGCUCAGCAAUCACAUAUUUCAGAGUACUGAUUUGAUAUUAUAUUCUUGUCAGUAAUACAACGAUGUUUGUCGCUUCGAUGUGACCUUGUUCCAAAACUUCUCUGUCGUGCGGAACACCAGUCCAGCUUUAAUAUUGUGUGCUGUUUAUUCAUGGCGCAUUUAUCACUAUGCAAAUAUUCAUAGAGAAAAGUGCAGGUAGGUUAUUUGUCUCUUUUAGAGAAGAAGUUAAGUUCCCCUUUGUAAUUCCACACAGCGCCGCUUUUGUUUGCAGUUGAACAGCUAUUUGGGCAAAAAGCUGAAAUUGUUUAAUUUAAACGGUCUAUUGCGGUUUAUUUGAUACCACAUCCUUGAAAUAAAAUUCCAAAGUUACAUGUUAAUUGAGUUGCCAGUGAAAACAAUAUACAGCCAACGGUUAACCAGAUAAGAAUAUGAUUGAUGUAUAGAAUUACACGAGUUAAGAAUAAGAAGUAUAGCCUAAGAAAACAAAGCGAACUUCCGUGAGUUUUUCUUAGUUUGGUUCCAACUUGCAUUUAAUCAGCUAAUAGAGUAACGGUAGCCAUGAA
rnacentral:lncRNA from 1 species